GACGAACGCUGGCGGCGUGCCUAAUACAUGCAAGUAGAACGCUGAAGGAGGAGCUUGCUUCUCUGGAUGAGUUGCGAACGGGUGAGUAACGCGUAGGUAACCUGCCUGGUAGCGGGGGAUAACUAUUGGAAACGAUAGCUAAUACCGCAUAAGAGUAGAUGUUGCAUGACAUUUGCUUAAAAGGUGCACUUGCAUCACUACCAGAUGGACCUGCGUUGUAUUAGCUAGUUGGUGAGGUAACGGCUCACCAAGGCGACGAUACAUAGCCGACCUGAGAGGGUGAUCGGCCACACUGGGACUGAGACACGGCCCAGACUCCUACGGGAGGCAGCAGUAGGGAAUUUUCGGCAAUGGACGGAAGUCUGACCGAGCAACGCCGCGUGAGUGAAGAAGGUUUUCGGAUCGUAAAGCUCUGUUGUAAGAGAAGAACGAGUGUGAGAGUGGAAAGUUCACAC
rnacentral:rRNA from 1 species